rnacentral:rRNA from 1 species
UUGUGAACGAAGGCCUUAUGGUUGUAAAGCACUUAAGCGAGGAGGAGGCUACUUAGAUAAUACCUAGAGAUAGUGGACGUUACUCGCAGAAUAAGCAGCCAGGCUAACUCUGUGCCAGCAGCCGCGGUAAUACAGAGGGUGCAAGCGUUAAUCGGAUUUACUGGGCGUAAAGCGCGCGUAGGCGGCUAAUUAAGUCAAAUGUGAAAUCCCCGAGCUUAACUUGGGAAUUGCAUUCGAUACUGGUUAGCUAGAGUGUGGGACGAGGAUGGUAGAAUUCCAGGUGUAGCGGUGAAAUGCGUAGAGAUCUGGAGGAAUACCGAAUGGCGAAGGCAGCCAUCUGGCCUAACACUGACGCUGAGGUGCGAAAGCAUGGGGAGCAAACAGGAUUAGAUACCCUGGGUAGUCCAUGCCCGUAAACGAAUGUCUACUAAGCCGUUUGGGGCCUUUGAAGGCUUUAGUUGGCGCCAGCUAACGCGAAUAAGUAGACCGCC